UGUGAAAUACUUAGGCUGUGA
rnacentral:piRNA from 1 species